rnacentral:rRNA from 1 species
CAAUAGCGUAUAUUAAAGUUGUUGCAGUUAAAAAGCUCGUAGUCGGAUUUUGGCAUCACGCCGAACUGUCUGCCGAUUGGUAAGUACGGUUUGGCGGGUGCUUCUUUCUUGAAGCUCGUUCCCUUCUUAACUGAAGGGUUCGUUGGUUCAUGUUCUUUUACUUUGAGAAAAUUAGAGUGUUCAAAGCAGGCCUAUGCUCUGAAUAGGUUAGCAUGGAAUAAUAGAAUAGGACUUUGGUUCUAUUUUGUUGGUUUCUAGGACCGAAGUAAUGAUUAAUAGGGACAGUUGGGGGCAUUCAUAUUCCAUUGUCAGAGGUGAAAUUCUUGGAUUAACGGAAGAUGAACUUCUGCGAAAGCAUCUGCCAAGGAUGUUUUCAUUGA